CGCUACAGCAUGGCACGCGUUUCGCUGGAGUAGAUCCCCCAGCUGCUGCAGGAGACAACACUGAGUUACACGCGACAAGCACCCCUCCAUCAAACGCCCUUGAUGCAAUCCAGAGAAGACCCAACCUUGUUGAACUAUGUUCUACUCUUGAGAAAUUC